AAUGUUUUUUUCGUUCCCGCAAAAAAUUUCCCCAAAAUUUUAUUAGUCUCUCUUCUCACUCAUUCUUACUCUCUGCUUCUCCUCUCUUCCCCAAAUUUUUGGAUACAAUGGAUUGGUUCAAUUAAUUAUUUUUUACUAGACCCAGACCAUAACUACUCACAAUGGAUUGGUUCAAUUAAUUUUUUUUUACUAAACCCAGACCAUAACUCCUUCCCUUGGGUUCUGGUCAUCCCAAAUUUCAUCCUCAUCAACCUCUCUCUCUCUCUCUAUAUAUAUAUAUAUAUAUAUUGGUGUUUACGGUUGAGACGGGAGUAGUGGUGCAUGUUUUAGGUUUUGGAUUGGUGAUCUUUUGUUGAGGGUUUGGGCAUCUUGUGAAAUUAGGGUUUCUCGAUAUGGCUUCCAAGCUGAUCUUGAAGGAACUCAAGGAUUUGCAGAAGGAUCCUCCUACUUCUUGCAGCGCCGGCUUUAUUGCCAGGAUCCAUUUUAAGGUACUACUGCAACACUCACAGAUGUUCACUUGCUAUAGUUCCUUUUUAUUUUUUUAUAGUUUUUAUUGGAUAAAGGAGAAUAUUUUAUUAACAUACAAGAACCUGAGGCACAACCACCGACCAUACAAAAACCUUACCUUUCAAAAGAGUUGUCUUUAAGAGAGUGGGCAGUACAUUCCUAGAGUUAAUGAAUCUAAAUAAUUCAUAGUAUGUUUGCAUAAAUUGGGAUGAAGUUGGACCACCAUUAUUAUCUCUUAAAUUUGUGGUACAAAAACUGAAUUUAUGAUAAUGGUUCAGCCGGUAAACUCUUUUUUAGUAAGAUCUUUAAUUUAUUUUAAAAUAUAAUUUUCCAUUAAAUUUAUGAAAUUUUAAGAAGUGCCACCUUUUCUUCUUAUUAUUUUUUUAAAGAGUUUUAUAGUUGGCCCACACAAAUGUUUUUUUGGGUGCAAACUAUGAGGGGUAUUCUAGUGCUGAACAUAUAGCACUCAAAUAUUUUCUAAAUUUCAGUGGGAGCAAUUGCCUCAACUCAAUAUAAGGUACUUUCACCCAUGCUUUGUAAUGGUUGUCUAGGUGUUGAAGUUGGGACCAAAGAAUUUGUUUUUCCUGCAAAAGUUUACUCUAAUUAAGGACUUUUGAUAGCUUUGGAUUUUUGUCCCAUAUAAAUUGAACUUUGUGAUUUGUUAUGAACAUCAAUCAUGAAGCUUUGCAAUGAUUUGAGGAUCCUUGUCUGGAGUUGGAUGGGGAGAGUGAUGGUAACCUUUGAAUGGAGUUGGGAGAAGCAUGUUUGGGUGGAUUGUUGUAGUGAUACUGUCUACUUUGUGUUGACUGGACCAAUGAUCAGGCCAUGCUACCAUUCUUCUGGUUAAACUGGUAAAUCUGGCUUGGUCUUCUAAAUUUUAAUAUUCUUCUUGAUUUGAGCUACUCACUGGGGUCAACGCAUGGAAAUUUGAUGGAUUAGAAAUCAUGAAGAUGCUCUACAGAUUAUCAACAAAAAAAGAAAAAAAGAAAAAAAGAUGCACCUACAUGUCUAGGAUUUGCAGGAAAAGAAAAAUUCUUUUUUCUCUCAAUACCUAAAACUGAAGGAAACUCUUGAUCUAGUGUUACAUUGGCAACCAUAUUCUCUCACUUUUUUUGGGUUUCUGUAUUACGUCAAUUGUCCAUAUGAGUUCUUUGUUGUAUUAUUGGAGCUAAUGUAUCUUCUUGUAAGAGGUGUAAAAUUUGUGUUGCAAGAAAAAAAAAUUUUAAAUCUAUAUUCUGAUAUUCGUUAUUUAUGUGUCAAAUUGGUUCUUCCCCUGGUUUUGAGGAUGGAGCAUUUGAGUCUACCAAGUUGGUCCGUCCAGCAGCUUCAUUUUAUCAUGCUGUAGAUGAUUGCCUAUAUUUUGUGGAUUUAGAGCCAUAUGGAGAAUAGUGGGCUAUGUGUGUAGAAUCAAAAAUUGGUUGAAGAGGCUUUUUAAGCAAAAGAACUGGCUUUUGCUGCUGUUGUGGAGCUGAAAAUUUAGCUGGUAAAGUGUCAAAGCCUUCCAACAUUUUGGUUUCAGGUCUCCUGGUCUUCAAAGGCUGUUAUGCUGAAAGUACCAGUGAUAGUUUGUCUUGAAGGCACAAACGUGAUCAGAAAAGAGCACGACUUCACUCUUUUGUUCAACUUCUAAGUCCAAGGUGUUUACCAGACACUAUGUGAAAGAAACAAAGUUUUUAUUUUUAUUUUUUAUAGAAGAAAAAACUAAACUCAAAGUCUGACACUUCAACUUUGGGGAUUGUCAAAGUUCACAUCUUUCCUGGUUGUGUUAAAUUGAGGUACUUUUGAUGAUCUCUCUUCAUUUUACCUUCUGGGUAUUCCUUAAUUUUGGUAAACAAGUUGUGGGUAUCUUUGAAAAUCAGCAACUGUUUCAUGGUUUAGUUGUGGGUCUCUGUGUCUUAGAGUUUCAUGGGUUUUGAAUGAUUUUUGGAGUUUUUGUGUGUUUUGGGUGUAACUAAUUGGUGAAUUGUAAAAAGUGUCUUAAUUUAAUUUGAGUUAUGGAGUACUUUUUAAAAGGAGACUAGUUUGGAAAUACUGAAAAAAUUGGAUAUGGAAUUUUAGCGGUUACUUUUCUUUUCUUUU